rnacentral:rRNA from 1 species
GACAGAGGUGGCAAGCGUUGUCCGGAAUUACUGGGCGUAAAGAGCGCGUAGGCGGCCUGAUAAGUAGGGGGUGAAAUCCUGCGGCUUAACCGCAGGGCUGCCUUCUAAACUGUCAGGCUGGAGCACAGUAGAGGCAGGUGGAAUUCCCGGUGUAGCGGUGGAAUGCGUAGAGAUCGGGAAGAACAUCAGUGGCGAAGGCGGCCUGCUGGGCUGUUGCUGACGCUGAGGCGCGACAGCGUGGGGAGCAAACAGG